UACGUGUAUCUCCAAAUGCUAUCCCUUCCCCCUCCCCCCACCCCACAACAGGCCCUGGUGUGUGAUGUUCCCCUUCCUGUGUCCAUGUGUUCUCAUUGUUCAAUUCCAGUUUUGUGUAUAGUUUUAAGGAGAUUCUGUCUCCUUGACUGUCUGGGAAGUUUUGUUAACCCAUUUUAGAGAAGUUGUUUGUUUCUUAGCAGCAGUUGUUUGCUGCACAGAUGUGUAGACUGUUAAGGAAAGCAGCAGCUAGUGGCUUACAGAAAUUUCCAAAUAAUUAAAAACUCAUUCCCUUCAAAUGUACUCAGCCCCUGUCGCCUUAUCUUUCUAGGUGAUACUACUAAAGGAAUAUUUUUGAGAAUUUGAAACAUUUCAUUUCAUAAUAGCAAAAAUGUUUUCAUUGAUUUCUUUUUAAAUCAGGGAUGAGUGCCACCUCUCGUAAACGGAAAGAAGAAUUAGCUGAAGCAUUGAAAAAGCUUAUUUUAUCUAAGGGCAAAACACCAGCUCUAAAAUACCAGCAACUUUUUGAAGAUAUUCGGGGACAAUCUGACAUAGCAAUUACUAAAGAUAUGUUUGAAGAAGCACUGCGUGCCUUGGCAGAUGAUGAUUUCCUGACAGUGACUGGGAAGACCGUGCGCUUGCUCUGAAGCCUUGUGAGCAAGGAAGGCUCCCUGCAUGUCCUGCUUGCUGCACGCCACAUGGGUGUGGUCUGCGUCUCAGUUGGCCGCCAUCAGUGUAAAUAGAGCUUAAAGUCAUGGUUUGGCUGCAUAAAAAUUUUCUAACUUGGGUUCAAUAUUUGUAGUGAAGUAUCUGUUUUCAUUUUUUUCACGUUAUAAAUAAAAAUACUAUGCUGGCCGGGCGCAGUGGCUCACACCUGUAAUCCCAGCACUUUGGGAGGCCAAUGUGGGUGGAUCAUGAGGUCAGGAGUUCAAGACCAGCCUAGCCAAGAUGGUGAAACCCCGUCUCUACUAAAGAUAACAAAAAAUUAGCUGGGCUUGAUGGCACGCACCUGUAAUCCCAGCUACUUGGGAGGUUGAGGCAGGAGAAUCGCUUAAACCCAGGCGGCAGAGGUUGCAGUGAGCCAAGAUCGCGCCACUGCACUCCAGCCUCAGCAAUAGAGUGAGACUG
rnacentral:sRNA from 1 species